rnacentral:rRNA from 1 species
GAUGAACGCUAGCUACAGGCUUAACACAUGCAAGUCGCGGGGCAGCAUGGGGGUUGCUUGCAAUCCCCGAUGGCGACCGGCGCACGGGUGAGUAACGCGUAUCCAACCUGCCCUUCACCACGGGAUAACCCGGCGAAAGUCGGACUAAUACCGUAUGUUGUCCGUUGACGGCAUCCGAUUUGGACGAAAGGUUUGGCGGUGAAGGAUGGGGAUGCGUCCGAUUAGCUGGACGGCGGGGUGACGGCCCACCGUGGCGACGAUCGGUAGGGGUUCUGAGAGGAAGGUCCCCCACACUGGAACUGAGACACGGUCCAGACUCCUACGGGAGGCAGCAGUGAGGAAUAUUGGUCAAUGGGCGUAAGCCUGAACCAGCCAAGUAGCGUGCAGGAUGACGGCCCUAGGGGUUGUAAACUGCUUUUAUGCGGGGAUAAAGUGGCCCACGUGUGGGUUUUUGCAGGUACCGCAUGAAUAAGGACCGGCUAAUUCCGUG